AAAACUUUUCAGCUAGAGUAUGAUAGAGGAAAGCAGAAUUUCUAGUGUAGAGGUGAAAUUCGUAGAUAUUAGAAAGAAUACCAAUUGCGAAGGCAGCUUUCUGGAUCAUUACUGACACUGAGGAACGAAAGCAUGGGUAGCGAAGAGGAUUAGAUACCCUCGUAGUCCAUGCCGUAAACGAUGUGUGUUAGACGUUGGAAAUUUAUUUUCAGUGUCGCAGGGAAACCGAUAAACACACCGCCUGGGGAGUACGACCGCAAGGUUAAAACUCAAAUGAAUUGACGGGGACCCGCACAAGUAGUGGAGCAUGUGGUUUAAUUCGAAGAUACGCGCAGAACCUUACCAACACUUGACAUGUUCGUCGCGACUCUAAGAGAUUAGAGUUUUCGGUUCGGCCGGACGAAACACAGGUGCUGCAUGGCUGUCGUCAGCUCGUGUCGUGAGAUGUUGGGUUAAGUCCCGCAACGAGCGCAACCCUCACUUUUAGUUGCCAUCAUUAAGUUGGGCACUCUGAAAGAACUGCCAGUGAUAAGCUGGAGGAAGGUGGGGAUGACGUCAAGUCCUCAUGGCCCUUACGUGUUGGGCUACACACGUGCUACAAUGGCAUCUACAACAGGAAGCAAAACGGCAACGUUAAGCAAAUCCCGAAAAGAUGCCUCAGUUCGGAUUGCACUCUGCAACUCGAGUGCAUGAAGCUGGAAUUACUAGUAAUCGUGGAUCAGCGUGCCACGGUGAAUGCGUUCCCGGGUCUUGUACACACCGCCCGUCACACCAUGGGAGUUGGUUCUACCUUAAGGCAAGGUUUCAAACCCUUGACCACGGUAUAGUCAGCGACUGGGGUGAAGUCGUAACAAGGUAGCCGUA
rnacentral:rRNA from 1 species